rnacentral:lncRNA from 1 species
CGAGCCCCGCGCUGGCUGCCCUGAGCCUCUGCCCCCAGCGCACGGCUCUCCCCGGGAGGCCUGCUGCGGCUGCCCCCAGCACACAGCCUCCAAGGCGGUCCCUGCUCUUCCUCCCGGCAGAUGUGGUUCCACCUUCCUGCUCAAGCAGCGGGUGCCUCUCAGCGACCUCUGGGUGCUGUGCGGGAAAGACGAGACGGUGUGCAGCUGUGAAGAUGAGGAGGACGUUUUUGGCCUCAAAUGUGCCAAUUCCCUCGUCCUGGUCUGGACCACCAAGGUCUGCGUGGUCACCUUCCGGUCACAGGAGGUGAAGGAGCAGUGGCUGAACACCAUGCUCACGUGAGCCCUGCCGGGGAACUCAGCCUGCCUGCGGCGGUGUCAAGGCUGCAGGCAGUGCAGAGCUGCCGGGGCAGCUGCCUGCAGCACAGCAGCACGGGAGGUGGGGGAAAGGGACGCCCCCUGCGCAGGGCAGCUCUGGGGCCGAGCGGCAGCAGCUGCUUUGCCUUGGCAUGGCAAACGAACACCAGCGCCCUGGAGCUGGCCCCACAGCUCCUGGCUUGCGUGGAUGGGGAGCCCGAGCUGCCGCUGCCCCUUUCCGGACGCAAGAGGCCCGGAGGCAGCGGGGCUGGGGGCGCUGCAGAGUGGUGCUGCCAGCCAGCGCCGCACAAAGCUCUGCUGUGCCAGCGUGGCGUGGGGGUGUGGGGCUGGUGUUGGGGCAGCGAGCAGAGGGGGCUGCCUGUGACCGAGCUCUGCCUUCGUCCCUGCGCUGUGCCCAGGCAAAGCCCAGGAGCCCAGGAGACCCAGGUCAGCUGCCUGCCCUCCCUUCGGCUCCUUGUCAAGGCCGUCGGCUUCGAUGCUCCCGUAAGUGUCCCGGGGGUUUCCGCUGCGCCCCGAGUGCCACGGGGCUUUGGGAAAGGGCCCCCACCACCAGCUGCUCACAUGGCUUCUCUGCUCUCUUGCCUAGUCGGGGUCGCCGACUGCCCGCAGCAUGGAGGCCUUGACUGCGGCCGAGGAGUGUGACGACCUCGGCUCUUCCCUGCAGCUGCUCACAGCUCUCUGCGUGCCUGAAGCAGCUCCGGAGGCACCCGAGCACACGGGCAGCUCCGCAGCACACCCAGGUGCCGCUCUGGAGGACGCCUCUGCCCUCCACAGCCCAGAGGCUGAAGCUGCCUGCGGCCCCCCAACCGCUGAGACGCAGCAGCCCAGAGGGAGAAGCCCCAGCGGGAGGUGCAGAAAUGCCUCGUGCGUCUCUGCUCCUCCACUGCCUGCUCAGAGCAAGCAGCUCGGCACGCUGCGCAGAAGCCUCUCGGAGGCAGCCCUGUCCUUCCCGGGCCACUGGCGAGGCUGCAGAAGGCGCCAGAGGGGCACCAGCUGGGCGCACAGUGUUGCGGAUGGUCAGCAACAGCUGGGCAUGGAGAAGGAGGCCCUGGAAAAGCCACCUGCCAUGGAGGCGGCACCACUCUCAGCUGGCUCUGCACCCGCACCGUCCUCCAGGUGCUCCCUGGAGAGCUGCCGGGCUGCUUCGCAGGGCCCCUCCAUAAGCCUCCUGGGAGCUGCUGCCAUUCCCGCUUGCUGCUUGCGGGCAGCGAGAGCUGCGAGAAAGAGAAGGAGACGGAGGAGGAGACAGAGAAGGAAAAGAAGAAGGAGAGAGAGAAGGAGAAAGAGGGAGACAAAGAGAAGGCGAAAGAGGAGGAGAAGGCAAAAGCAAAGGAGAAGAAGAGAGAAAGAAAGAGAAGGAGGAAGAGAAAGGGAAAGGGAAGGAGAAGGAGAAGAAAUGGAGAGCAAAUAAAGGGAUGAGAAAAGAAAGAAAGAAAAGACAUGGAGAGAAAACAAAGAGAAAGAAAAGAAAUGGAAUAAAAAGAAACGGAGAGAAAAGAAAGGGAAAGAA